rnacentral:misc_RNA from 1 species
GAAAUGCGAUAAGUAAUGUGAAUUGCAGAAUUCAGUGAAUCAUCGAAUCUUUGAACGCACAUUGCGCCCGCCAGUAUUCUGGCGGGCAUGCCCGUUCGAGCGUCAUUUCAACCAUCAAGCCCCCGGCUUGUGUUGGGGACCUGCGGCUGCCCGCAGGCCCUGAAAAACAGUGGCGGGCUCGCUGUCACACCGAGCGUAGUAGCAUACAUUCUCGCUCAGGGCGUGCUGCGGGUUCCGGCCGUUAAACGACCUUCAUAACCCAAGGUUGACCUCGGAUCAGGUAGGAAGACCCGCUGAACUUAAGC